CCCAGAGCCUGACGCGGGGCUCGAACUCACAGACCGCGAGAUCGUGACCUGGCUGAAGUCGGACGCUCAACCGACUGCGCCACCCAGGCGCCCCAACCCUGAUAUUCCUUUUAAAGAUACUUGAUCUCUGCUAUUAACUUGGAAUUGUUCAGCAUCUAGCUAUGAUUCACUAACAAAUUCAUCCAAAUAAACAUUUUAAAAAAUGUCAGAUAAUUCUGUCAGUGUGACAAGUUAAAUAAAACCAGAUACACAUACACACACAUACACUCAUGUACACAUAUAUAAACAUGGUCUGAAUUUUAAACAGAGAAGCCUGAUUAAAUGGGGUUUGUAUUUUGGACCACUGUUGCCACCAAGCUACCUGUAUUUGAUACUUAGGAGAGUUCUAAUAGACUUAAUAUUCUACACACAGUUCGGGGAAAUUUCUUUUUAGAUGCCUGCAGCACAGGGCACAAUAAUUUCCAACAUACAGCAUGAGAUUUGACUACUUUAUCUCAGCAUAUGUAACUAUAACUGUUAUUGUUCACAAAAUUAUCUGGUUUUUAUUACACCAUUGGACUCUGUGACACCCCAGAAUCCAUGACUGCCUCAGACAGGCUCCAUUUAUAGUAAGAACUAUUUCUGUUUAUGCCGCUCUACUUGCUAUUAGUUUCACGAACUUAUGCCCUCUGGAUUUCAAUGGUGCAGGAACGGGAGGGCAGAGAAUUCAGGAAGGGAUGGAUGCAGGAAUCACCAGCCAGCUACAUGUUCCGCAAGAGGGGCAUUUUUUUGCUGCUGCUGUUGAGAUUGAGGUGUCUCUUAAGUUUCUUUUUAUCUCGCAUGUUCAUCUCCAUUAUCAUCCUCUUUUCAAAUGAUACCUUCUUUUUUUUAAGUUUAUUUUUGAGGGGGGGGGGGCGGAGAGGGAGAGAAUCCCAAGCAGGCUCCUUGCCCAACACAGGGCUCAGUCUCACGACGUUGAGAUCACGACCUGAGCUGAAAGCAAGAGUCAGACGCUUGACUGAUUGAACCACCCAAGUGCCCCUCAAGCAAUGCCCUCUUAAAGAGACUGGGUCAGUUGUUCCGUAACAUUCUGGGCUUUGCUGAUUUUUUCAACACGUUUCCUAUAGAUUUAAAGCCUUGAUUAGAUUCAGGGUGAACAUUUUUCCAUGGAUGCUUCACAGAUGCUCCUAUGUAUUUCAUAUGACAUCACACAAGGACGUGCAUAGUAUCUAUUUGCCUUGCCUUUAAUGACACUGAUUGAUCUGCAGAUCCAGAUGGGGACUGCCUGAUUCCUGGCUGUAAAGUUGUUGGCUGACCUUCUGACUCCCUUGGAAUAAUAUCUAGUUCCUCAUUUAUAUUUUGCUUCUUAGUUUUAGCAUCCAUAAAUGUUUAUUGCCUGAAUCAGUUAUUUCAUUAGAUGUAAAAGGGUGAAUUUUUCUAAUUUUAUCAUUUCUUCUACAUUUACUAGCUAGAAUACUUGUGUAAGAAAACUCUCCCUCAUUAACUAGGGCUAUAUUAUAAAAUUUUGAAAAUAGAGUUUUCACAUGGAAGGCAGAUCAAGGCUUACUUUUCCAGUUAAUUACUAAUUUUCAGAGAACAAGUUAAUAGACUAUGGCCAAUAGUGAUAAGUGAAUUAUGUUUGUUACUUUGGCUUUCUCUUUUGAGUAUCAUUAUGAAUUCAGGGAUAUUUAUUUCAUUAUUGUGUUUUGAUCAGUUGCCAUUGCUUUUCUUGUUGAUGGUAAAAUUGUCCACUUUUAGGCAGUGGGCAGAUUCCCUGCCUUCCAGCAUAACAAGAUGAUCUAGUCUCAGUUUGUCAUUUGCCACUCCACACCUGGAACCAGAUCUCUCCAAGAAUCCCCAGUUCCUUUUUCUGAGACUGUAGUCUGAAUGCUAACAUUCUCAUCAUUACUGGACUGUCAUUGCUACUGGGUCUUUUCUGUGGACAGAACUUUAACAUUUUGAAUUUUAAAAGACUCAUAUGCACAAUUCAAAUAUAUUUGAAUAUUCGAUGUAUCACAUUCAAAUUUCAAAUAUUCAAACAGUUUAAAUUUAAACGUAAUCAAAAGUAACCUACACGUGAUUAUUAAAUCAUUAUAUCGUACACCUGAAACUAAUAUAACACUGUAUGUGGAUUGUACUUGAAUUUAAAAAAUAAAUAAAUAAAAUGUUUUAAAGUAACCUACUGGGUUUUUUAAAGUUUUAUAUUGGUAUAUUCCUUCUCUCAGACAUUACUACAUUAAUGUAAUUACUUAUUUAUAAGCAUAAUAUAAUAACUUUAAAAUGUCAAUAUAGCAUAAUGAGAGAUAGUAAUAUUAUUACUAACAAUCAGAUACUGAAUGCAAGUGAAGAUUUCUUUGUAUUUUUGUUAGAAUAUAUUCCAGUAACGAUGUGUGACAUACCCUAUGUUUCAAAAUACCCAAUGGACCCAAGUAUAGGCAAAAGCUUUUCUCUUGAGGAAGAAGAAAGGUCUAGCUAGGUUAAUGGUCAGAAUGGCUUCGGUUACCUCGUCUGGGCCCUCCCCCAGCCCUGAGAAGGCAGGAGAAAAGGCCCGAGAUGAGUAGACAGUGGGCUGCAUUGGCCUGUGGACACAGCCCAGCCAGAGACGCUCUGAGCCCCGCCCUCCAGGACUGCUGGGUGCCCGUGGCCACCGAGAACAGGUGCCCCCAGCUGCACUGAACAAAGAUGAAAUACGAGAUUCGUGUCUAUCUGUGCGCAGCGUCUGCGCAGUUGACUGCAAGCAUGAGGUAGCCAGACACUUCACCGCAGUGUUGGGAAUGUUUCAUAGCAGUUCGGCACUUGAAAAGAAUAAAUUGUAUAAAUGAAAAGUAUAUACUUCCUCCCAGCCCCUAGAUCAUUCAGAACAUUUCAUUGGACAGUACGUGGCACCAGCCUGCCAUUUUUGAGUGCAUCACAGGGCUUGUUGCUAUUAUUUAUCUUGUUCUUAUCACGUUGGUAUUUAAGCAUCUUAUCGCUGUACAGGAGAGAAAAGGUCCUGUUCUGCGGGCUGUGUUUUUCAACCAGUGAUUCAGGAGUACUGAUACACUUGCUCUGUUUUGAGCUGCACUCACAUUUCUGCUGGGAGGCAACAACAAGGAAAACACAGGUUCCUGACUUCAUUCAACCGAGGAGGGCGACCAUUUCUGCGAUGCCACUGACACGAGGCUCCACAGGUUCAGGGGUUUGUCGUUCACCCCCGUGUCCCCGUGCCCAACACAGGGCUUGGCACACGAUCCUGUGUGCAGUGCAGCCGACAUGGCCGGCCGCCACCCAUUGUCUUCCGAAGGGUAGAGAUGUUCCUGGGAAGGAGCUACCUGGCCAGAGACUACAAUUCCCAGCCCCCCUUGCAGCAAGUUGAAGCCAAGUGGCUGAGUUCUUCCCAAUGGGCCAUGAGAAGAGGGAUGCACUCUACUUCUGGAUGUGGUGCAUUACAGCUUCUGCACUCUCAUCUUCCGCCUCAGUUGGCUGGGUGUUGAUGCCCUGGGCCCCUCAAUGACUCCUGCCUUUAUCCUCCUUUCUCCCACCAUUGGCCUCUCUGUAAGCAAGAAAUAAAAGUAUUUUGUGUGGUGCCAUUGUGAA